rnacentral:rRNA from 1 species
CUUUCGCACCUCAGCGUCAAUACCGGUCCAGUGAGCCGCCUUCGCCACUGGUGUUCUUCCGAAUAUCUACGAAUUUCACCUCUACACUCGGAAUUCCACUCACCUCUCCCGGAUUCAAGCGAUGCAGUCUCAAAGGCAGUUCUGGAGUUGAGCUCCAGGCUUUCACCUCUGACUUACAAAGCCGCCUACGUGCGCUUUACGCCCAGUAAUUCCGAACAACGCUAGCCCCCUCCGUAUUACCGCGGCUGCUGGCACGGAGUUAGCCGGGGCUUAUUCUCCCGGUACAGUCAUUAUCUUCCCGGGUAAAAGAGCUUUACAACCCUAAGGCCUUCAUCACUCACGCGGCAUUGCUGGAUAAGGCUUGCGCCCAUUGUCCAAUAUUCCCCACUGCUGCCUCCCGUAGGAGUCUGGGCCGUGUCUCAGUCCCAGUGUGGCUGAUCAUCCUCUCAGACCAGCUAAGGAUCGUCGCCUUGGUGAGCCUUUACCUCACCAACUAGCUAAUCCUACGCGGGCUCAUCCCAGGGCGAUAAAUCUUUGGUCUURCGACAUCAUCCGGUAUUAGCACGCCUUUCGGCGAGUUAUUCCGAACCCAAGGGCAGAUUCCCACGCGUUACGCACCCGUGCGCCACUAGACCCGAA